UACGUAGGGGGCUAGCGUUGUCCGGAAUUAUUGGGCGUAAAGCGCGCGCAGGCGGUCCUUUAAGUCUGAUGUGAAAGCCCACGGCUCAACCGUGGAGGGUCAUUGGAAACUGGGGGACUUGAGUGCAGAAGAGGAAAGCGGAAUUCCACGUGUAGCGGUGAAAUGCGUAGAUAAUCGGGAGGAACACCAGUGGCGAAGGCGACUACCUGGCCUGAUUCUUGACGCUGAGGCGCGAAAGCUAGGGGAGCAAACGGG
rnacentral:rRNA from 1 species